UACAGAGGGUGCAAGCGUUGUUCGGAAUUAUUGGGCGUAAAGGGAGUGUAGGCGGUCCAUUAAGUCUUCUGUGAAAUCUACGGGCUUAGCCUGUAACGUGCAGAGGAAACUGGUGGACUUGAGUGUCGGAGAGGAUAGGGGAAUACCCGGUGUAGAGGUGAAAUUCGUAGAGAUCGGGUGGAACACCAGUGGCGAAGGCGCCUAUCUGGCUGACAACUGACGCUCAGGCGCGAUAGCGUGGGGAUCAAACAGG
rnacentral:rRNA from 1 species